CAUCGAAAAGAGAGACAUCAGGCCACCUCCAGUUCCCAACCCAGGAGAGACACCAGCAGCCCCAAUUGUGAUGAAAUUGUGUACUCUGUUGUUCAAGCAAAGAGGAAAGAAGGAGGCUACGUCAGGACAAGAAGAGAGCCAGUAAGUUUUCAUUGUUUCAGAGACCUUUACAAGACAAGGAGGGUGCCAGUCAGCAAAGAUCUGAAAGGAACACUGCCCUUAUCUUUGACCUUAUCCCCUGGAGGCUAUGGCAAUGCAAUUGUACAUCUAAAUACUUCUUCGAUGUGAUGAGGGUUUCUGCCUCUCCCACUUUUACAGGCAGCGAGUUCCAGAUU